AAAAAAAAAAAAGGAAAAAGCUCAAUUUGGUAAACAAAAGUUCAAGCAAAUUUCUCUUUCUUUGUCUACCAAAACGAAAGAAAAAAAGUUCAAAAUUGAAAAUGGGUAUCUGAUAAAGAAAGAGGAGAUUUAAGCUAUUGUUUUUGAUGUGAAGGUUGAAGAAAAUGGAAGCAUAAGCAGAAGAAGAGUGGAGAGAGUAAUGAGAUUCUCUUGCUGCACAAUUUUCUUAAUAUUUUUGAGGUAUUGGUAUAA
rnacentral:misc_RNA from 1 species